UCCGAUUGUCAUUUCAGAGACAAACAAACCUGCUGUCGUCUCAUGAUUCCAGUGAUGUCAUGCUCUCUUUUUCUUUUUCAGAACGUCACAUGAGCAGGAGCAGUGUGUUCUAAACACGCCUCCUCGCAGGCAGAGGAGGACAUGGAAACGUUGGAUCCUACUGGAUCUUUUGAAGAAGUUAUUUUAUCUCCUACUGAUGUGGUAGAGCAGCAACCACCGAGGAUGAUUCCCACCCAGCAACGGCACUAUUGAUUCUGGAGUCGUCCCGGCUGUUAACCUGUGGACGAGGAGCAGCUGUGAUGUCAAGAACCCAACGCUACAGAUGGUUUAAUAGUGUGUUACCUUCAGUAUCCAUAGCAACGGUUUCCCUGAAAUGAUCCUGCAACAUCACAGCAACUGUUUCUAUUUUUCCAAAACGAUUUAACAGUUGAAGCUAAAUUUUACGUUUGGAAUAAUAGGAUCACAGCAGAUUUUCCACGGAAGCAAGAGCAAGUAAAAGCAUUCCUGGGUUUUCUUUCUUUUAAACUUAGUUGAUAUGAUUAAAGGUGCAGUAUGUAAGAAAACAGUGAGGAUUUUACAGUGAGAAAAUCCAAAAAGAGUCAUGAGUAACGUUUCAGUCAUUUUGGAAGGAAGGUCAUGCUGAAACAUAGUUCAUAUCCAGCUGGCUGCAGGGAUUGUCAGUUUUUCUUCUUUCAAAACAAAGGAAGGAGGGACGUAGCUACUGUUUAUCAUCAGCGAGUGUGGGGUUGCCAUGUCUCUGCGAGCUAAUACUGCAACGUCGACAAUUAUAAUUUGACGAUGGCCGAGAAAAAGCUCCAGAGUUGUUUAAAGUGGUUGCAGUAACCACAUUUUACCACAGGAUGUAUUUUUAACUUCAUUUCUACACAAUGCACCUUUAAAGUAACAGUGUGUAGUUUCCCUGGAUUUAUGGGGCAGUACAUACCUAAACGAUUGUAAGCAAGCAUUACUUUUGUGUUCAAGUAAGAGCUUACCAACGGAUGGCCAUUAGGGUCAAAAAUGCGUGGGAACGCAACCUCCAGCAAAAUAAGCACAUCCGACUCCCUUUCAUCGCUGACAACGAGCGAAGAGGUAAAUGUGUAAAAUAACAACGUUUGGUGAAAGUUUUGUAACUGUUUGUUACAAAUCAGGAAAUGCAUUUUGUCCUCACGGGCUUCCAUAGAAGGAAAUACGGCAUCCAAAAUUAGACUUGCUGCCAUGUAUUUUAGAACAGAUUUUCAUGGUUAUAUGUUAUGAAACUGCCAAUAUUUUUAAUCAACUGAGCAUCUUUUAAUUCAUUUACAACAACAUUUUGAUGGAAAUUUCCAGAGAUUAAUGAUAAAAAAUACACAUUGUCUCUUGAACUUGUUUUUUUAUCACUUUCCUUUGUUUUUAAUAUCCAUCUUUUGUUUGUUUGGAGUUUUCAUCGUGGUUUUAACAUCAAUUUAAGCUGAGUGCAUAUUCAGUAACUCGGUCCUUUGUAUCAAAAUGCUGGAUGUUGUAAUUUUUAUUGGAUUUUUAUCUAACUUUGCAAUAAAGAAAAUUAUGUGAACCAUUAUAAUUGAAGCUCUGCAAACUGCAGCCGUGUAACGCUGACCAAUAAUGACUCCAACCUGAGUAAAGUUCAUUUAAAAC